CGAGCCUGCGAAGGCAAGCGGAUCUCUUAAAGCUGUUCUCAGUUCGGACUGCAGUCUGCAACUCGACUGCACGAAGCUGGAAUCGCUAGUAAUCGCGGAUCAGCACGCCGCGGUGAAUACGUUCCCGGGCCUUGUACACACCGCCCGUCACACCAUGAGAGUUAGGAAUACCCGAAGCCUGUGAGCCAACUUUAUAAGAGGCAGCAGUCGAAGGUAGAACUAAUGAUUGGGGUGAAGUCGUAACAAGGUAAC
rnacentral:rRNA from 1 species